rnacentral:rRNA from 1 species
GUCCAGACUCCUACGGGAGGCAGCAGUGAGGAAUAUUGGUCAAUGGCCGAGAGGCUGAACCAGCCAAGUCGCGUGAGGGAAGAAUGUCCUAAGGAUUGUAAACCUCUUUUGUCGGGGAGCAAAAAGGCUCUGCGGAGUCGUAUUGAGAGUACCCGAAGAAAAAGCAUCGGCUAACUCCGUGCCAGCAGCCGCGGUAAUACGGAGGAUGCGAGCGUUAUCCGGAUUUAUUGGGUUUAAAGGGUGCGCAGGCGGAGGUGCAAGUCAGCGGUCAAAUUGCGGGGCUCAACCCCGUACUGCCGUUGAAACUGGCAGUCUCGAGUUGGAGAGAAGUAUGCGGAAUGCGCGGUGUAGCGGUGAAAUGCAUAGAUAUCGCGCAGAACUCCGAUUGCGAAGGCAGCAUGCCGGCUCCACACUGACGCUGAGGCACGAAAGCGUGGGUAUCGAACAGGAUUAGAUACCCGCGUACU